rnacentral:rRNA from 1 species
AGAGUUUGAUCCUGGCUCAGGAUGAACGCUAGCGGCAGGCUUAAUACAUGCAAGUCGUGGGGCAGCACAGGUAGCAAUACUGGGUGGCGACCGGCAAACGGGUGCGGAACACGUACGGAACCUUCCUUUAAGCGGGGAAUAGCCCAGGGAAACUUGGAUUAAUACCCCAUAAGAUCAUAGGGUGGCAUCACCCAGUGAUUAAAGCUACGGCACUUAAAGAUGGGCGUGCGGCUGAUUAGGUAGUUGGCGGGGUAACGGCCCACCAAGCCGACGAUCAGUAACUGGUGUGAGAGCACGACCAGUCACACGGGCACUGAGACACGGGCCCGACUCCUACGGGAGGCAGCAGUAAGGAAUAUUGGUCAAUGGACGCAAGUCUGAACCAGCCAUGCCGCGUGGAGGAUGAAGGCCCUCUGGGUUGUAAACUUCUUUUAUCUGGGAAGAAACCGGGAUUUUCUAAUGCCGUUGACGGUACCAGAUGAACAAGCACCGGCUAACUCCGUGCCAGCAGCCGCGGUAAUACGGAGGGUGCAAGCGUUAUCCGGAUUCACUGGGUUUAAAGGGUGCGUAGGUGGGCAGGUAAGUCAGUGGUGAAAUCUCCGGGCUUAACCCGGAAACUGCCGUUGAUACUAUCUGUCUUGAAUGUAGUGGAGGUGAGCGGAAUAUGUCAUGUAGCGGUGAAAUGCUUAGAUAUGACAUAGAACAUCUAUUGCGAAGGCAGCUCGCUACACUAUGAUUGACACUGAGGCACGAAAGCGUGGGGAUCAAACAGGAUUAGAUACCCCGGUAGUCC